rnacentral:rRNA from 1 species
UACGGGGGGAGCAAGCGUUGUUCGGAUUUACUGGGCGUAAAGGGCGCGUAGGCGGUAGCACAAGUCAGUUGUGAAAUCUCCGGGCUUAACUCGGAAAGGUCAACUGAUACUGUGCGACUAGAGUGCAGAAGGGGCAACUGGAAUUCUCGGUGUAGCGGUGAAAUUCGUAGAUAUCGAGAGGAACACCUGCGGCGAAGGCGGGUUGCUGGGCUGACACUGACGCUGAUGCGCGAAAGCCAGGGGAGCGAACAGG